AACAGGUUGAUCAGUUAAACAUUAAAAACUUAGAUGAAAUGAAGUUGGAAAAUCAUGUCUCCUUACUGUUUAAGUACCUGUUAGUACAUUUUAAGUGUUUUAUUCCUGUUUGAAGGUGAAUAGAUGUUGGUGAAAUUGGCUAAUGUCAACUGAGUUUGCAUCAAUUGCGUUGGGAGGCACAGCUCGGCCUGUGCCAGCCUCCAGUUAGCUUCACUGUCACACCUUGUUGACACACAGAGGAAAAACUUGCUCAGUCACUACUCUCAGUCACUACUGGAUGGAUCCACAGCAGGAUCAAUGGGCAGCCGCUGUCCAGCCUGCAGUCUCAACGACCCGAAAGGCUCCAAUGAUGGUUGAACUACAGAGUAAGAUCAAAAGAAAAGGAAGAAAGAAAUGGCUGCUGAAGACCUGUCUCUUCCUCCUGGUAUUCGCUUUCCUCAUGGUAUUAGUUGGCAAAGAAGACAAUGAUGCACACGCCUAUGAUGUUUCGUGGUUGUUGGGAUUUUUGCUGUCUACUGUUUGGUUGCUCCUGCGUUUUCUCCAGAUGUUCCUCUGGUUUAUCAACGGUCUGCUGAAGUCCAUACCCCCGCUGUGUCAGUGUUCGUCGUUCCUCCUGUCCUACGUUCUACUGCUGCUACAUUACACAUGUGAUGCUGUGUUUUUUGCAGCUGCCAAUCCUGGGCUUGUUUGUGACAUGCUUCUCAGGACCAUUUUACUGCUCGUUUUCACCAUGUUAACGUAUAGAUAUAGACGUGAAAUAUAUGCUAUAAUUCAAGAUCCUCAAGAAUUGCAACGUGUGAUUGAUAUCAUUGUAUUCGUUUUUCGGGUGUUUUUUGGUUUGGUUUUUUUGGUGGUUUUUUUUGUGUUUUUUAUAGUUUUUUUACUUAUUGUUAACGCGAACAAUGAUGCACAGGCCGGUCAAAAGAGGGCGCUAUGGUGGCCCCCCCCUCCCCCCUGAGCCAGACAGCCACA